rnacentral:tRNA from 2 species
GGUGAGGUGGAUGAGUGGCCGAAAUCAACUCACUGCUAACGAGUCAGACGAGUAAUCGUCUCGCGGGUUCGACUCCCGCCCUCACCG